GAUGAACGCUGGCGGCGUGCCUAAUACAUGCAAGUCGAGCGAACGGACGAGAAGCUUGCUUCUCUGAUGUUAGCGGCGGACGGGUGAGUAACACGUGGAUAACCUACUUAUAAGACUGGGAUAACUUCGGGAAACCGUAGCUAAUACCGGAUAAUAUUUUGAACCGCAUGUUUCAAAAUUGAAAGACGGUAUUGCUGUCACUUUUAGAUGGAUCCGCGUUGCAUUAGCUAGUUGGUAAGGUAACGGCUUACCAAGGCAACGAUGCAUAGCCGACCUGAGAGGGUGAUCGGCCACACUGGGACUGAGACACGGUCCAGACUCCUACGGGAGGCAGCAGUAGGGAAUCUUCCGCAAUGGGCGAAAGCCUGACGGAGCAACGCCGCGUGAGUGAUGAAGGUCUUCUGAUCUUAAAACUCUGUUAUUAGGGAAGAACAUAUGUGUAAGUAACUGUGCACAUCUUGACGGUACCUAAUCAGAAAGCCACGGCUAACUACGUG
rnacentral:rRNA from 1 species